ACUAUGGAGAGUACAAGGAAUUAUGAGUAGAUACAUUGUAUUGAAAAUAUACUCAUUGAAGUAGUAA
ncrna:Fusobacterium hwasookii ChDC F128 RAGATH-18 RNA